UAGAUAUAUGGGAGUAGGCUAUGGAGAAAUUCAAGCAAUACACUGGAUGUACCCUAUCAUUGGACUUCCCCAGGCACCACCACCUAAAAGUUCUCCAGUUAUCAUAAGAUGUCAGGCCAACAAACAAAGAGAAGAAAAAGUGGAAGUGUCAAUGCUUGGUAGUUUUUUUAAUACACAUCCAAAACCUGACAUGACAGAAUUUUUAGUUUUUCCAAAAAGAAAUGUAUAUAAAAG
rnacentral:lncRNA from 1 species